AAAGCAGGGGAUCGUAAGACCUUGCGCUUUUGGAGUGGCCGAUGCCUGAUUAGCUAGUUGGUGGGGUAAGGGCCUACCAAGGCGACGAUCAGUAGUUGGUCUGAGAGGACGACCAGCCACACUGGGACUGAGACACGGCCCAGACUCCUACGGGAGGCAGCAGUGGGGAAUUUUGGACAAUGGGCGAAAGCCUGAUCCAGCAAUGCCGCGUGAGUGAAGAAGGCCUUCGGGUUGUAAAGCUCUUUCAGUCGAGAAGAAAAGGUUGCGACUAAUAAUCGCAACUUAUGACGGUAUCGACAGAAGAAGCACCGGCUAACUACGUGCCAGCAGCCGCGGUAAUACGUAGGGUGCGAGCGUUAAUCGGAAUUACUGGGCGUAAAGGGUGCGCAGGCGGUUCUGUAAGUCAGAUGUGAAAUCCCCGGGCUUAACCUGGGAAUUGCGUUUGAAACUACAAAGCUAGA
rnacentral:rRNA from 1 species